UGAUCGAUGAUGACUCCCACAAAAACAUUCCUUGGAAGUGGAACAAAAUGAGUGAAAACUCUAUAAAAAAAAAAAGAAAAAAAUAUGUUAU
rnacentral:snoRNA from 1 species